rnacentral:rRNA from 1 species
UCUUGCCUGCCCGGUGAAUAUAUUUAACGGCUGCGGUACUCUGACCGUACAAAGGUAGCAUAAUCAUUUGCCUGUUAAUUGCAGGCUAGAAUCAAUGGCUUGACGAAGAGAAUACUGUCUUUCUUUAUAGAAAUUGAAUUUAGUAUUUUGGUGAAGAAACCAGAAUAAAAUAAUGGGACGAGAAGACCCUGUUGAGCUUUAGUUCUUUCUAUAAAAUUUUAUAAGUAAGGAAUUUUGGUUGGGGCAACUGAUCUUACAAUAAGACAAGGUUAGAAAUUUUAAGAUUUAAAUCCAAAUUUGACCCAUAAUUUUAUGGUAAUAAGAAAAAGUUACCACAGGGAUAACAGCGUAAUUUCCUUUGAGAGUACUUAUUGACAAGGAAGUUUGCGACCUCGAUGUUGGAUCAAGAUAUCCUGGAGGUGCAGCAGCUUCCAAAGGUAGGUUUGUUCAACCUAUAAAAUCUU